rnacentral:rRNA from 1 species
AUUGAACGCUGGCGGCAUGCUUUACACAUGCAAGUCGAACGGUAACAGGCCGCAAGGUGCUGACGAGUGGCGAACGGGUGAGUAAUGCAUCGGAACGUGCCCAGUCGUGGGGGAUAACUACUCGAAAGAGUAGCUAAUACCGCAUACGAUCUAUGGAUGAAAGCGGGGGACCGUAAGGCCUCGCGCGAUUGGAGCGGCCGAUGUCAGAUUAGGUAGUUGGUGGGGUAAAGGCCCACCAAGCCAACGAUCUGUAGCUGGUCUGAGAGGACGACCAGCCACACUGGGACUGAGACACGGCCCAGACUCCUACGGGAGGCAGCAGUGGGGAAUUUUGGACAAUGGGCGCAAGCCUGAUCCAGCAAUGCCGCGUGCAGGAAGAAGGCCUUCGGGUUGUAAAAUGCUUUUGUACGGAACGAAACGGCUCUGGUUAAUACCCGGGGCUAAUGACGGUACCGUAAGAAUAAGCACCGGCUAACUACGUG